rfam:Loxodonta africana unplaced genomic scaffold scaffold_265, whole genome shotgun sequence.
GCGGUGAUGGUAUAGUGGUGAGUACUCCGCGUUGUGGCCGCAGCACCCUCGGUUCGAAUCCAAGUCACGGCA